rnacentral:rRNA from 1 species
UACGAAGGGGGCUAGCGUUGUUCGGAAUCACUGGGCGUAAAGGGCGCGUAGGCGGCUUUAUAAGUCGGGGGUGAAAGCCUGUGGCUCAACCACAGAAUUGCCUUCGAUACUGUAGAGCUUGAGACCGGAAGAGGUAAGUGGAACUGCGAGUGUAGAGGUGAAAUUCGUAGAUAUUCGCAAGAACACCAGUGGCGAAGGCGGCUUGCCAGAACGCACUCGACGGUGAGGGAUGAAAGCUGGGGGAGCAAACCGG